GAAAUAUUGAUUUAAUAAUUGGUAUAUAGUUUUAUCAUGACAAGUUAUAGAUCAAGUUAGAAUAUCGUUCCAGUACAGUGAAUUUUUAACCGGUAGGGGAAUAUGUAUUGCCAUGCAAUACUCUCAGAAUGCUUGUUAUUUUACCAUUUUUAUGAUACUGUAAACCAACUUAUUUUUAGUUCCCUUCCGACGAAGUCGAAGGGGACUUUAGGUUUGCACUCCUUCCUUCUGUCUGUCCGUCCGUCUGUCCAUCCGUCAGUCCAGCAAAUCAGCUUUCCACACUUUUUUUCUUCGUUCUUGAAGAUAUUGAUUUGAUAUUUGGUAUAUAGUUUUAUCAUGACAAGUUAUAGAUCAAGUUCGAAUUUUGUUCCAGGCUGAUGAUUUUGUCCAGAGUUAUGGACCAUGACUCUGGACCAUAUCUAAUGUUAGAGUACUAUGUUAAACCAUAUUUCUGUACAAAGGGAGAUAACUCAUUUUUUAAAAGACAUUCUUUGUUAAAUUAUUUGAAGAAUUUUUUGGCAGGUUUGUUUGUUAUUUAGUAUAAACUAAUUUUCUGAAUGCUAUAUAUAUAUAAAAAAAAAUUAUGAAGAGAAAUCCUUUAAUUAGAUAAUAAUCUAUUUUUAUUAAUGUAUAUAUUUCAAUACAUUACAUUGUGUAGAUAAAAGUUGUUGACAUUUUAUAAAUAAGUUACAAAUCUAUAUUAGUUUGUGACAAAUGAAAGAAAAAUAUUUGGAACUAUUAAUUAUAUUUGAUUAUAAUUUGAAAAUAGAUAUACACUGUAUUACAUCAUAUCUAAUUUUAGAGAACUAUUAAUCAUAUCUGAUGUUUUUUUCAUCAUGCUUAUAAGAUAUUGAUUGAUAAUUGGUAUAUAUAUAGUUUUAUCAUGACAAGUUACAGAUCAAGUUCAAAUUUUUGUUUCGGUCUAAUAAUUUUGUGCAGAGUUAUGGUCCUUUGACUUGAAAAAUCCAAGCAUAUAAUCAGUUUUCCACACUGUUUUUAGUCAUGCUUGAAGAUAUUGACAUAAUAUUUACUUUUUGUUUACACCAUGACAAGUUAUAGAACAAGUUAGCAUUUUGUUCCAGUAUAAUGAAUUUUUAUCUGGUAGGGAACUAUGUAUUACCAUGCAAUACUCUCAGAAUGCUUGUUUUUCUUGGAAUCUUUUUAUUUUCAUUUAUCCCUUUCUAGCCAACUUUUUGACAAUCUAUUUUCACAAUUUUCUAUAACCUGUGGUGAUUUUUUGUCUCGCCUUGACGGAGUCAAAAAGCGAGACAUAGGUAUGCUGUUUCCGGCGUCAGCGGCGGCGGCCGUGUCAACAAUGUAUUAGUUUGUGAUUAGGUCUAGUUCAUGGUGAACCACUAGUGGUAGGUCAAUGAUAUUUGGUAUGCAGUUGUAUAAGCAUUGGCACAUCUCAUUACCAUGGAGAUUAUUUGGCCCCGCCCCCUCAGUCAAGGUCUAUUGACUUUGAAACUUUUCAUAGUUUACAUGUAUUAGUUUGUGAUUAGGUCAGUUCAAGGGGAACCAUUAGUGGUAGGCCAAUGUUAAUUAGUGUUCAGUUGUAUAAGCAUUAGCACAUCUCAUUUCCAUGGAGAAUAUUUGGCCCCACCCCCUCAGUCAUGGUCUAUUAACUUUGAAACUUUUGCUUAGUUUACAUGUAUUAGUUUGUGAUUAGAUCAGUUUAAGAUGAACCAUUAGUGGUAGGCCAAUGUUAAUUAGUGUUCAGUUGUAUAAGCAUUAGCACAUCUCAUUUCCAUGGAGAUUAUAUAGCCCCACCCCUGAUCAUGGUUCAUUGACUUUGAAACUUUUACAUAGUUUACAAGUUAAUGUUUGUGUUUAGGUUUGUUUAAAGGGAACGACUUAUGAUAAGUCAAUGGUAUUUGGUAUGCAGUUGUAUUAGCAUUGGCACAUCUCAUUCCAUGGAGAUUGCUUAGCCAUGUACCUUCAGUCAUAACUUACAUGUUAAAGUAUUGCUAUUUUAAUUUCAACAUUUGCAUUAUCAAAAUUACAAAAAGGCGAGACAUAUCUCUGUGAUAAAAGUUUUUUUAUAGAAGGGAAGAUUCACUUUCUGAUUUUGUCUCGUUUAUGUUUUUUGUUGCGGAAAUCAAGUUAAUUAAAAUCUCACAAAUUUUUUUUAUUUAGUUACAUUAUAUUAAAAAGCAAAGCAUAUUAUCAAGAAAUGGUACACACAAUAACUUUUUUUGCAGGUUUUUUUUUCAAUUUCAAUGCAUUUAAUUUUUCACCAGAAUUGAAUUCAUGCUUCAACAGCAAACUCAUGCUGUAUAUCAAUAUUUUUGCCUUUUGAAAACAAUUCUUUUGGGAAUAUAGCUGCACAAUUGAAUUGAAUGCAAAACAAGUGAAAAUUUCCACCUUUACAGCUCAUACUGGUUAAAAACUGUAUGAAAAUAUAUGCUACUGAUUAAUACUGGUUUAUAGGAUACACAUCAUUUUACAUGCUAAAUAUGUUGAAGUUUUGAUUGGCUCCUUGUAGCAAUUGGAAAUUUUAUAUUUGAUAGUUAGAAAAGGGUUGUAAAUUAUAUAUAUUUUUUAUGUCAUAGAUUCAUAUUAGCAAAUAUAAUACAUGCUUAUUGGUUAGAAAUUAUAAAUUUAUACAUGUUGGUAAGCAUUUCAAUGUAUUUAUUGUUAAACAAAAAAUUUUGAAACCCAUUGAAAUGCAUUAAAUUUGUAUUGGGAAGAGACUUUGCAUUUUUGUUGAUUAAGAAUUGCUUAUGAUAACUGGAUAGACAUUUUAAAUGGUUAUUUUACAUAGGUGAAACAUUCAUAAUAAUUGCUUACAUUCACUUUAUUUGAACUUUGGUGGGUAGUUGUCACAUUGGCAAUCAUACCUCAUCUCCUUAUUUUUAUAUUAC